CUCUGUGAUGAAGAUACUUAGCUCACUUUGACCCAAUGUGAAAAGUCCCGAACAUCUGAGAGAUUUAUUGGAUGGUUAUAAUUCUGAUUUUACAUAUGCCCGUGUCAGACAUCGUUCCUCUUAUUUUCUUGACAGGACUGUUAUUUGUCCAAAACUAAGUGUGCCAAGUCCUUUGGUGGUACUAGGUUGCUUACCUGAAGUACACUCGGCAGGUGGCACAUCUGAUAUGAAACUUAACCGGACUGCAGUGGAUUCUUAAGUUCUUCCCCCCUCGAGUACUGAAGCUAUUGUUGCUAUGGUCCAUCCAGAUUGCUCCAAUGUCACUUGAUUGCUAGUGUUUUGUUGACCCUUUUUUUAAAGGUCACGUAAGCUGCAUCUGAGAAGUUGAACUGGCAACACCCUGAUUGUACUGUGCAUCCGCUGAACUGAAGUGUUGACUGCAUGGUGUUAACAAUAUAAAUGGAUUGGUUUUUUUUAAAUUUUAUUUAUUCAUAAGAUGCUUGCAAAAUAAAUGGCUUUACUGAAUUUGCAGUUUCAAA